CUGAGCAUCGCAUUGUUUUCAUUUUCUUAGACUUUGAAAUAUUCUUGUAUGUUGUAUGACGUGAGUGGUGACUGGUGUUGAGUGCCAGUAUGUACACAAGAAUUGACUUCUUCAUUUUAUACCACACCAGGAUUGACUUCAAGAAUUGACUUCUUCAUUUUAUACCACUCCAGGAUUGACUUCAAGAAUUGACUUCUUCAUUUUAUACCACACCAGGAGGUCUAAAACGUGCAUCUUGGCUACUCCGAAAAAUUGUAAUAAAUAUAAUAUGUAAGAGAGGUCGAAGUUUCUAAAAACAGACACCUUUUAAUACUUUUACAUGCUAUAAGCAGUAAGCACAUUUUAUAAAGAUAACCUUCAAUCUUAUUCAAAAGAAUUCUAUGGUAUCAAACGCAAAGAUUUGUUAAAACAGUUUGAUAGUGUACUGCAGUGUGACAUAUACGCAGGUGGGCUUUUCUGUGGAAUGAUCUGGAAUGCUGGGUUUAUGCAUAAAGGGGGUUGGGGUGGGGCUUAUAGGCACAGGUUUUAUAUGCAGAUAGAUUAUUCAUGAUUGUGUGCCUGUUUCUUGAUUACAUUACAUAUAGAAGAAAUCACUGAGAUCGGCGGAUAUUUCCAUGGAUGCAAUCCCAGGAGUUACCUUAUCAAAACAUAAUACAAAACAAUAGCUUUUGUGUUGUCACAGAGAUAAUUACAUGAUGCGAUUAAAUUGUUUCUAAAACAGAUUGAAAGUUUGAUGAAAAGACGCAAAAGAAAUGCGAAGCUAUGGAAGUUAAUCAAGGCAACGGUGCAAGAGAGGGUUGACGGGAUUGGAGAAUGUAGAGAAUAUGUGUCAAGGAAAGGCCUCUUUUGUUUUUUGUCAGAAGCAAACUGGAGAUUUAUUUUUUGAUGGAAUUAUUUCUGGCCUCCGGGACAAGGUGCAUGAAGAGCAAAGAAGUUUCGUUAUGCUGCAUGACAUUUGCAUCGAUAUUGUAAACAGAAAUAAUCUGUUGUCAAACUCAUCCACAAAUGGAGCACUUGAAAAUGCUUAUAUACUAACUAGACAAAUGUUAGUUUCAGUAAAAUACAAUCCGCACUAUAUAAAGACGACUUACAAAAACAAUCAAUUUUGUUUGUUACGUCUACGUAUCUUCGUACAGAUUAAGCCUCAGUCAUUUGUUGGUUAAAAGAACUGACCGUGAAGCAAAUAUAAUAGCGAAAACAUGUUACACAUAACAAAAAUAACGUUUAUUCUAAAGUCCAAAUUGAGCUGAGCGAAGAUUUAAAAGCUAAAUAUCAUUAAAAUGAAAAAAAUGUCAGUACACUAACCACUCAAUCGGUUUUUGAAUUAACUGUGGUGGUUGUGAACUGUUCAUUUAAACAUACACGCUGUUUGAAUGGGAAAGUCACAUGUUGUUAUACAUGUAAAAUGUAAUGCUAUUAUUUAAAUUAUAUUUAUUUUACAUGAUUACAGCAAAUGAAAA